rnacentral:rRNA from 1 species
AGAGUUUGAUCCUGGCUCAGAUUGAACGCUGGCGGCAUGCCUUACACAUGCAAGUCGAACGGCAGGCACGGGAGCUUGCUCCUGGUGGCAAGUGGCGAACGGGUGAGUAAUACAUCGGAACGUACCCUGAAGUGGGGGAUAACGUAGCGAAAGUUACGCUAAUACCGCAUAUUCUGUGAGCAGGAAAGAGGGGGAUCGCAAGACCUCUUGCUUUAGGAGCGGCCGAUGUCGGAUUAGCUAGUUGGUGAGGUAAAGGCUCACCAAGGCGACGAUCCGUAGCGGGUCUGAGAGGAUGAUCCGCCACACUGGGACUGAGACACGGCCCAGACUCCUACGGGAGGCAGCAGUGGGGAAUUUUGGACAAUGGGCGCAAGCCUGAUCCAGCCAUGCCGCGUGAGUGAAGAAGGCCUUCGGGUUGUAAAGCUCUUUCGGUGGGGAAGAAAUUGCUUCGGUUAAUACCUGGAGUAGAUGACGGUACCCGCAUAAGAAGCACCGGCUAACUACGUG